rnacentral:rRNA from 1 species
GACGAACGCUGGCGGCGUGCUUAACACAUGCAAGUCGAACGGAAAGGCCCUGCUUUUGUGGGGUGCUCGAGUGGCGAACGGGUGAGUAACACGUGAGUAACCUGCCCUUGACUUUGGGAUAACUUCAGGAAACUGGGGCUAAUAUCGGAUAGGAGCUCCUGCUGCAUGGUGUGGGUUGGAAAGUUUCGGUUGUGGUGGAUGGACUCGCGGCUUAUCAGCUUGAUUGUGGGGUUGUUGCUUACCAAGGUUUUGACGGGUAGCCGGCCUGGGAGGGUGACCGGCCACAAUGGGACUGAGGGACGGCCCAGACGCGUACGGGAGGCAGCAGUGGGGAAUAUUGCACAAUGGGCGGAAGCCUGAUGCAGCAACGCCGCGUGCGUGAUGACGGCCUUCGGGUGGUAAACAGAUUUGGAAUGUGACAAAGCGUGAGUGACGGUAAUGGGUCAGGAAGCACCGGCUAACUACGUG